rnacentral:rRNA from 1 species
UGAACGCUGGCGGCGUGCUUAACACAUGCAAGUCGAACGAGAAAGAGGUUGCUUGCAACCUUGAGUAGAGUGGCGCACGGGUGAGUAACACGUAGAUAAUCUACCUUCAAGCCUGGAAUAACUAUUCGAAAGGGUAGCUAAUACCGGAUAAAGUUGAUCAACAUAAGUUGGUUCAUGAAAGAUUGCCUCUUCUUGAAAGCAAUUGUUUGGAGAUGAGUCUGCGGACCAUUAGUUUGUUGGUGGGGUAAAGGCCUACCAAGACUGCGAUGGUUAGCUGGUCUGAGAGGAUGAUCAGCCACACUGGAACUGACACACGGUCCAGACUCCUACGGGAGGCAGCAGUGAGGAAUUUUGCGCAAUGGGGGAAACCCUGACGCAGCAACGCCGCGUGAGUGAAGAAGGCCCUUGGGUCGUAAAGCUCUGUCGACAGGGAAGAAAUUAACAUCAUCCAAUAGGUGUUGUUAUUGACGGUACCUGUAGAGGAAGCACCGGCUAACUCC